GAUGAACGCUAGCUACAGGCUUAACACAUGCAAGUCGAGGGGUAACAAGAGAAAAGCUUGCUUUUCUUGUUGACGACCGGCGCACGGGUGAGUAACGCGUAUCCAACCUGCCUAUAACUAGGGAAUAACCUUGCGAAAGUAAGACUAAUACCCUAUGAUUUCCUUUGAUGACAUCAGAUUAGGAAUAAAGAUUUAUCGGUUAUAGAUGGGGAUGCGUCUGAUUAGCAUGUUGGCGGGGUAACGGCCCACCAAGGCAACGAUCAGUUGGGGUUCUGGGAGGAAGGGCCCCCACAUUGGAACUGGGACACGGCCCAAACGCCUACGGGAGGCAGCAGUGAGGAAUAUUGGUCAAUGGGCGGAAGCCUGAACCAGCCAAGUAGCGUGCAUGAUGACGGCCCUAUGGGUUGUAAACUGCUUUUAUACAGGAAUAAAGUUAGCCACGUGUGGUUAUUUGUAGGUACUGUAUGAAUAAGGACCGGCUAAUUCCGUGCCAGCAGCCGCAGUAACAC
rnacentral:rRNA from 1 species